UACGGGGGGGGCAAGCGUUGUUCGGAAUUACUGGGCGUAAAGGGCUCGUAGGCGGCCAACUAAGUCAGACGUGAAAUCCCUCGGCUUAACCGGGGAACUGCGUCUGAUACUGGAUGGCUUGAGUGUGGGAGAGGGAUGCGGAAUUCCAGGUGUAGCGGGUGAAAUGACGUAGAUAUCUGGAGGAACACCGGUGGCGAAGGCGGCAUCCUGGACCACGACUGACGCUGAGUGAGCGAAAGCCAGGGGAGCAAAGCGGG
rnacentral:rRNA from 1 species